GGACCCAUGGCGCAACGGUAGCGCGUCAGAUUCCAGAAACGGUUGGUUCAUUAUCCUCCCCAGCAAACUGGAACUUCCUGAAGGUUAAGUGUUCAAAUCACUUUGGGUUCA